AUUGAACGCUGGCGGCAGGCCUAACACAUGCAAGUCGGGCGAGUGGCGGACGGGUGAGUAAUGCUUGGGAAACUAGCGUAUGGAGGGGGAUAACUACGGGAAACUGUAGCUAAUACCGCGUACCAUAGGAUGAACCCAAGUGGGAUUAGGUAGUUGUUGAGGUAAAGGCUCACAAAGCCGACGAUCUCUAUCUGGUCUGAGAGGAUGACCAGCCAAACUGGGACUGAGACACGGCCCAGACUCCUACGGGAGGAAGCAGUGGGGAAUAUUGCGCAAUGGGGGCAACCUGACGCAGCCAUGCCGCGUGAAUGAAGAAGGCCUUAGGGUUGUAAAGUUCUUUCGGUAGCGAGGCGUUAACUACAGAAGAAGCACCGGCUAACUCCGUGCCAGCAGCCGCGGUAAUAC
rnacentral:rRNA from 1 species